GGUUCCAUAGUGUAGCGGUCGGCACGUCUGCUUUACACGCAGAAGAUCCUGGGUUCACACCCCAGUGGAGCCA
rnacentral:tRNA from 1 species